rnacentral:rRNA from 1 species
UGGGGAAUCUUCCGCAAUGGGCGAAAGCCUGACGGAGCAACGCCGCGUGAGUGAAGACGGCCUUCGGGUUGUAAAACUCUGUGAUUCGGGACGAAAGAUAAGCAGACGAAUAAUCUGCAUAAGUGACGGUACCGAAAAAGCAAGCCACGGCUAACUACGUGCCAGCAGCCGCGGUAAUACGUAGGUGGCAAGCGUUGUCCGGAAUUAUUGGGCGUAAAGCGCGCGCAGGCGGUCACUUAAGUCCAUCUUAGAAGUGCGGGGCUUAACCCCGUGAUGGGAUGGAAACUGGGAGACUGGAGUAUCGGAGAGGAAAGUGGAAUUCCUAGUGUGGCGGUGAAAUGCGUAGAUAUUAGGAAGAACACCGGUGGCGAAGGCGACUUUCUGGACGAAAACUGACGCUGGGGCGCGAAAGCGUGGGGAGCAAACAGG